rnacentral:misc_RNA from 1 species
CCAAUAGCGUAUAUUUAAGUUGUUGCAGUUAAAAAGCUCGUAGUUGAAUUUCGGGAUCAGUAGGUCGGUCGUGCCACUGGUAUGAACUGGUCUCACUGGUUCCUCCCUCUUGACGAACUGCAAUGCUAUUAAUUUAGUGUUGUAGGAAAUCAGGACUGUUACUUUGAAAAAAUUAGAGUGUUUAAAGCAGGCUUUGGCUUGAAUACAUUAGCAUGGAAUAAUGAAAUAGGACGUUCGAUCCUAUUUUGUUGGCUUCUAGGAUUGACGUAAUGAUUAAUAGGGACAGUUGGGGGCAUUAGUAUUCAAUUGUCAGAGGUGAAAUUCUUGGAUUUAUUGAAGACUAACUACUGCGAAAGCAUUUGCCAAGGAUGUUUUCAUUAAUCAAGAACGAAAGUUAGGGGAUCGAAGACGAUCAGAUACCGUCGUAGUCUUAACCAUAAACUAUGCCGACUAGGGAUUGGAUGAUGUUAAUUUUUUAAUGACUCAUUCGGCGCCUUACG